GGCCUGGCCGGUAGCGGAGGGAAAGCGAGCGCUGUUUGGCGGGCGAUGUCACGUGCCUCAGAGCGAGCGGCGGAGGUGGGCACGUGAUCUGCAGCGUGACCCGCCGGAGGGGGCGCUGUGCUGUGCUGUGGUGCAGGAAGGAGAAAUCAAGGCCUUGAUGAGCGCCAACUUUUUACAGCUGAACAUGUACAAGACGGAAGCCCAGGAAUCCUUGCCUUCAGCCAAUAUGUCCUGAACCUCUGGAACUUCCUACCUUAAGCUGGCAGUCAACACGAGGGGAAACUUACAACUUUCAUACGGUUGCACACAAACAUAACUCGGAAGGAUUUAACAGCAGAAAUGAAAAUUCCCAAGACAAAUGAAAACCAGAAAAGGUUAACUGCUCCUUUGAACACGUAUUUCACUUGUGAUUCUACAAGAACCAGGUGAAGAUUAUUGUGAUUAACUAAUAUCCAAUCUUGAUGCCAACUACUGAAACCGCAUUUGGCAUCAGGUUAAAAAAAUAAUGAAUUGGGAGAAAUGACAGCAUUAUAUGUAUUAUAUAUAUAUAUACACACACACAAUGCAGUAAAUAAUCCAGU